rnacentral:rRNA from 1 species
UACGGAGGGUGCGAGCGUUGUCCGGAAUCACUGGGCGUAAAGGGCGCGUAGGUGGCCCGUUAAGUGGUCGGUGAAAUACCGGAGCUCAACUCCGGUGCUGCCGAUCAGACUGGCGGGCUCGAGCACGGUAGAGGCAGAUGGAAUUCCCGGUGUAGCGGUGGAAUGCGUAGAUAUCGGGAAGAAUACCAGUGGCGAAGGCGUUCUGCUGGGCCGUUGCUGACACUGAGGCGCGACAGCGUGGGGAGCAAACAGG